UGAUCUCCACGAAUUGGAAGCAUCAUGCGUGUUGCUAAUGCAUUGGUGGUGAAAGAAAAGUUGAGUAAAUAGAGGAUACAUCAAUCCUCUGUAUCUGCGGCUUCGGAGUUGUUUCUGAAUUGGUGCAGUGUGAGAUUGAGGUUUUCAUCGGAGAGGGACUGACGGCAGAGCUGGUGGAUCUGCGGUGGAUAAACAGUACUCCCUCCGUCCACCAAAAGAAUAGCACUUUUGGUGGGCACAAGUUCUAAUAAAAUCGAUGGUGACUUUUAUGUGGUGGAGAAAUGGUUUCGCCAUUUUUUGAAAUAAGCGGUUAAGAUUAAAUUUAGGGUAGUUUUUUUGGUAAAUAAAGAGUAUUUGUAAGGAUAAAAGAUAAAAGAA
rnacentral:lncRNA from 1 species